rnacentral:rRNA from 1 species
GGCUUAGAGUUUGAUCAUGGCUCAGGAUGAACGCUGGCGGCGUGCUUAACACAUGCAAGUCGAAUGUAGCAAUACAUGGCGGACGGGUGAGUAACGCGUGAGCAAUCUGCCCAUAUCUGGGGGAUAACAGUUGGAAACGACUGAUAAUACCGCAUGAUAUCAUUUGAAGGCAUCUUCUUAUGAUCAAAGAUUUAUCGGAUAUGGAUGAGCUCGCGUCUGAUUAGCUUGUUGGUGAGGUAACGGCCCACCAAGGCGACGAUCAGUAGCCGACCUGAGAGGGUGAUCGGCCACAUUGGAACUGAGACACGGUCCAAACCCCUACGGGAGGCAGCAGUGGGGAAUAUUGGGCAAUGGAGGCAACUCUGACCCAGCAACGCCGCGUGAAUGAUGAAGGUCUUCGGAUUGUAAAGUUCUUUUCUAAGGGACGAAGAAAGUGACGGUACCUUAGGAAUAAGCCUCGGCUAACUACGUGCCAGCAGCCGCGGUAAUACGUAGGAGGCAAGCGUUAUCCGGAAUGACUGGGCGUAAAGGGUGCGUAGGUGGUUCAGCAAGUUGGCAGCGUAACUCCGAGGCUCAACCUCGGCACUACUGCCAAAACUGUCGGACUUGAGUGCAGUAGGGGCAAUUG